rnacentral:lncRNA from 10 species
AAAGACAAAAAUGUUGUACAUACACAGCAUGGAAUAUUAUGCAGCCACAAAAAGGAACGGGAUCAUGUCCUUUGCAGGGACAUGGAUGGAGCUGGAAGCCGUUGUCCUCAGCAAACUAACACAGAACAGAAAAUCAAACACCACAUGUUCUCACUUAUAAGUGGGAGCUGAAUACUGAGAACACAUGGACACAGGGAGGGGAACAACACACACUGGGGCCGCUGGGGGGUGAGGUGAGGGGGAAGGGAGGGAGGGCUCCAGGAUAAAGAGCUGACGUACGUGGGGCUUUUUGUUUGUUUGAGACGGAGUCUCGCUCUGUCACCCAGGCUGGAGUGCAAUGGUGCAAUCUCAGCUCACUGCAACCUCUGCUUCCCAGGUUCAAGUGAUUCUCCUGCCUCAGCCUCCUGAGUAGCUGGGAUUACAGGCGUCCGCCACCACACCCAGCUAAUUUUUGUAUUUUUAGUAGAGACGGGGUUUCACCAUGUGGGUCAGGCUGGUCUCGAACUCCUGACCUCGAGCAAGCCACCCACCUCGGCCUCCCAAAGUGCUGGGAUUACAGGCAUGAGCCGCCGCGCCCAGCAACAUGUGGGGCUUAAUACCUAGGUGACGGGUUGAUUGCAGCAAACCACCAUGGCACAUGUUUACCUAUGUAACAAACCUGCAGGCUUGGGAAUUCUGAUCUGUUAUAGGUGUUGCAAAUAUUUUCUCCUAGACUAUCAUUUAGAUCUGCACAUGUAUCCCAGACUUAAAAUUAAAUUAUUUUAAAUUAAAAAAAAAAAAAAGAAUCCAACUCCUCGUCUUUCCCAGCGUCGAGGGGCUCACAUCCCUCAGCUCGGGGCCCCUUCCUCCACCUUCGCAGCCAGGAGCGCAGCCUCUUCUAGUCUUUCUUAUGAGGGACCCUGUGAGGACACUGGGGACUCCAGAUCAUCCAGGCUGCUCUCCCAUCUCAGAGUCCUUCACUCAAUCGCACCUGCAGAGUCUCUGUUGCCGUGGAAGGUGACAUACCCCUGUGCUCCCGGAAUUAGAACAAGGACAUCUUUGCCGGCUGCUAUUCAGCCAACCAUAGCUUGGGCUCCCCAGAGGCAGAGCCUGAGACAGAAGGUUCAUAUGCUCUUGUUUUCUGGGGGAGUCCAGUCUGAUCCUCCAUACGAGAGGGAGAGACCAGGACAAUGAAGCAGGGAGCGAGAGCAGGCCCAUAAGAGGGUGUGUCACUGCCUCAGCCUUGGCUUAAUAUAGGCGCCCUCGACCCCGCAAGCUCACGGAGCCGGCGUCUCAGGGCCCGUAGGCGGGAGGAGGUUGACUCACCGGCUCCUCACUGGCCACAGGCUCACCUCUGCACUGACUGGUUGUGGCUGCCUGUGUGCAGGGGGGAGCUCAGGUGCAGAGCUCACACCUGAGUGACAUCCGUCAACACCUGACGGAGCUAGCCCGUGAGUGGGUGAGGUCGAGGGGCUCUGCAGGGGAGCAUAAGAGGGUCUCAUACCAGGACCGGCCAUGUAACGUGCAGGGCUCAGUAAAAAAUGAAAACACAGGGCCCUUUUUCAAAAAUGUUUAAGAAUUUCAAGACAAUGACAGCAGCAUUAAACCAAGGGUGGGGCCCUUCCGACCACACAGCGCUUCUGAUCAUGGGGCCCUGGGUGACUCACAAGUCGCACACCCAUGAAGUCGGCCCUGUCUCAUACACCCACCAACAUAUUUUUCAGAUAUUCCAGAAGGGGUUUGCUUAAGCUAUUAGGACAGAAAAAAAGUCACAACAGAUUGAAGUCAUUAAACAUUUAAAGCCUUUACUGGCCGGGUACAGUGGUUCAUGCCUGUAAUCCCAGCACUUUGGGAGGCCAAGGUGGGUGGAUCACCUGAGGUCAGGAGUUCGAGACCAGCCUAACCAACAUGGCGAAACCCCGUCUCUACUAGAAGUACAAAAUUAGCUGGACGUGGUGGCUCAUGCCUGUGAUCCCAGCUACUCAGGAGGCUAAGGCAGGAGAAUCACUUGAACCUGGGAGGCAGAGAUUGCAGUGAGAUGAGAUCGCAUCAUUGCAACAAGAGCAAAACUCCAUCUCAAAAUUAAAAAAAAAAAACAAAAAAACAAAACCUUACCCUUAUAACAUGCUCACUUCAGUAGCACAUAUUCAAAAAGUUGGAAGGAUGCAAAGAUUAGUAUUGCCCCUGCGUAAGGAUGACAUGAAGCAUUUCAUAUUUUUAAAAAAGAAAUAAUAAUAAUUAAAAAUUGCCAGGCGGGUGGCUCACGCCUGUAAUCCCAGCACUUUGGGAGGCCAAGGCGGGUGGAUCACGAGGUCAGGAGAUCGAGACCAUCCUGGCUAACACGGUGAAACCCCGUCUUUACUAAAAAAAAGUACAAAAAAUUCGCCAGGCGUGGUGGCGGGCACCUCUAGUCCCAGCUACUUGGGAGGCUGAGGCAGGAGAAUGGCUUGAACCCGGGAGGCAGAGGUUGCAGUGAGCCGAGAUGGAGCCGCUGUACUCUAGCCUGGGCAACAGAGCAAGACUCUGUCUCAAAAAAAAAAAAAAAAUUAGAGAUCUUGUCUGGAUUAUCCAGGUAGGCCCAAUGUCAUCACAGGGUCCUUGUAAGAGGGUGGCAGGAAGGUCAGUCAGAGAAGGAGACAUAACAACAGAAACAAGAGGCUGGAGUGAUGUGAAGUCACAAGCCGAGUUGUACGAAUAACUCCUGAAAUCUGGAAUACACCGGGAAACAAGUGAAAGAAGCUGCAGCCUUCACAGCCUCCAUGCUACGAUCCCAACUAGAAAAGAUUCCGCAAAAGGCAAAGCUAUACAUGAGUAAAAACAUCAGUGGUGGCUCACGCCUGUUAUCCCAGCACUUUGGGAGGCUGAGGCGGGUGGAUCACCUGAGGUCGGGAGUUGGAGACCAGCCUGACCAACAUGGAGAAACCCUGUCUCUACUGAAAAUACAAAAUUAGCUGGAUGUGGUGGUGCAGGCCUGUAAUCCCAGCUACUCGGGAGGCUGAGGCAGGAGAAUCGCUCGAACCCGGGAGGCGGAGGUUGCAGUGAGCCCAGAUGGCACUGCUGUACUCCAGCCUGGGUGACAGAAUGAGACUCCAUCAAAAAAAAAAAAAAAAAAAAAAAAUCAGGGGUUACCCAGGUUGAAGGAAGCGGGGAUAAGGGUGAAUAGGUGGAGCACAGAGGAUUUGGGGAGCAGUGAAAUUACUGUAUGUGACACUGUCAUGGUGGAUAUGUAACCUCAUGCAUUGGGUAAAACCCACAGAACACAGACCUCCAAGGGUGACCCCUACUGUAAACUCUGGACUGGGCUGGGUACGAUGCCGAAUGCAGACACUCUGCCUCUGCAAAGCAAAGAAGGGUCCACGCCACAGAUGCCACAGAGCGCAGACUGAUGGAGGGAGGGCACGAUGGCCUCCUCAACCAGGCCGGGGAAGCACACCCAAAUUAAGUAUACAUUGCCUCCCAAAUCCAAGGAGAUGCAUUUGACGUCGUGCCUUCUCUUUGGUCCUGGGAAGGGCCAGAGGCAACAAUUUAUCUUUCACUUGACGUCAAGCAAGAGAAGGAUAAUGAGUACCAACAGCCAGCCUCCACAUUGCACACAUUUUGUUUAUAAUAAUUAGAAAAUUUGUUUUCAUGCUAAAGAAAGGGUAAAAGAGCCAUUUACAGGCAGCAGAAGCAUAGUGCUUAUCUAAGCAGAGACUUUUAUUUUUAUUUAUUUAUUUUAUUUAUUUUUUUUGAGACAGAGUCUCACUCUGUCACCCAGGCUGGAGUGCAGUGGCGCAAUCUCGGCUCACUGCAACCUCCGCCUCCUGGGUUCAAGUGAUUCUCUUGCCUCAGCCUCCUGAGUAGCUGGGAUUACAGGCGCUCGCCACCACUCCUGACUAAUUUUUGUAUUUUUAGUAGAGACGGGGUUUCAGUAUGUUGCCCAGGCUGGUCUCAAACUCCUGACCUCAAGUGAUCCACCCGCCUUGGCCUGCCAAAGUGCUGGAAUUACAGGCGUGAGCCACCACGCCCCGCCUUAAGCAGAGACUUUAAACCUGUCCAUCUGGACUUCUGUCUCUGACCCACUGCCAGCCUCAAAUCCCUCCCACUGGGAUCUCCCCUCUUCCAGAAUCCUUGCCUGCUCUCCAGUUCCCAGCCCUUCUGGCCAGUCCACGUGAUUCCCAGAAAGUCCUCCACAAGCAACGGCAGGGCUCUGGAGCCCAGGCAGCCAAUGAGGCAGGCUCAGGGUUUAUUCUGCGCCCUCCCACACCCUCUCCGACCCCCGCCAGGGAUCCAAAGAAAAGAGAAAAAAUCCCACGAGGGGCCUGGGAGGGCACAGCAAAGUCUCCGGGAUGGGGGCUCCCCCUGGGUGGCCGCGUCGGGUUCAGCGCUUUCUGCACUUGUGGCUGAUCUGUAGCAGCCACCACAGGGUUUACAGUGGAAAGAGUGAUGUAGGGCCUCACGGGUGAGCCGGCCCUAAGAAUGUGCCACUCCUGGCCGGACGCAGUGGCUCAAGCCUGUAAUCCCAGCACUGUGGGAGGCUGAGGCGGGCGGAUCACCUGUGGUCAGGAGUUUGAGACCAGCCUGACCCACACGGAGAAACCCCGUCUCUACUAAAAAUACAAAAUUAGCCGGGCGUGGUGGCUCAUGCCUGUAAUCCCAGCUACUCGGGAGGCUGAGGAAGAAGAAUCGCUUGAACCCGGGAGGCGGAGGUUGUGGUGAGCCAAGAUCGCACCGUGGCACUCCAGCCUGGGCGACAAGAGUGAAACUCUGUCUAAAAAAAAAAAAAAAAAAGAAUGUGCCGCUCUUUCUCGCCAACAUUUAUCACUCUGGGGAGAACUCCAAGCCAAGGUUGAGAAAGAAACAUCUCCCCUGUUCAGAACGCAGACUGCCAGCGUACGCCAAGACAGGCCAGGGUGUCGUUGGGGGAAUGAGCUUGCUGACAGGUGUCCAGUCUCGGCCCCGGCUCCGCCUCUCACUUACAGGAUCUUUGGCGACAACAUUCACUCUGGUCCCUUGGACCUUCCAGAGGUCAUCCCUGUGUCUUCUAACUGCAUUUGUCUGUCUCAAUUGAUCAGUAAAAUGAGCAAUUACAGUCGGAGCAGCACUGGGAUUCUGGAGCAAAUGGCAGUGACAAUUCCUGCGUCUAAAGCCUCAGAUCCUAGGGAAAAGAUCUGCUUUCACCUAGGAUGAGCGACCUACUCCAGAGAACAUUCAGGAAAACCCGGCUUGCAUUAUCAGGUGGUUUACGUGCCUCCAGCCCACUCUGUGAGAAUCAGGGGAAUCUAAAAGGGUUCUGCCUUUGGUAACUACUCCUGUCCCACGACCCCUCCCCUCGAAGGCCACAUGCAGUGGCCUCUAGAAAGGAAGAAUUCUCAGCCAGGCGCGGUGGCUCACGCCUGUAAUCUCAACACUUUGGGAGGCCGAGGCAGGCGGAUCACGAGGUCAGGAGAUCGGGACCAUCCUGGCUAACACGAUGAAACCCUGUCUCUACUAAAAAAUACAAAAAAUUAGCCAGGCAUGCUUGCACGUGCCUGUAAUCCCAGCUACUCAGGAGGCUGAGGCAGGAGAAUUGCUUGAACCUGGGGGGCGGGGGGUUGCAGUGAGCUGAGAUCGCGCCACUGCACUCCAGCCUGGGCAACAGAGCGAGACUCCGUCUCAAAAAAAAAAAAAAAAAAAAAGAAGACGAAAGGAGGAAUUCUCAGGCCAGAGUCUAAACGUUUCAUGGGACAGAUAAUCUGCGCAAAACUACAGGGUCAGAGCUGCAGACAGCCAUCCAUCUAGCAGAAGGCAUGUCACGGGCUGGCUUGGGGAUAAAAGAAAGCCAAAGUCCCAUCCUUGGGUCAUGGAGCUGCUCUUCCAGUCACAUCCCCACAUUGGGAGGUAGUAGUGGAAGCCGCCCUUUUCCAACGCUCCUGUUGUCUUGUCUAUCUGGCAGCCUCCUCCCGACCACCUCUGGUGCAGACAUCUGGAGCAGAGGGAGGGAGGAAGUGUGGUUCACGUCUGGUCUCUUUCCUGGCCAGCACACUUUCGAAACAUUCCCCCUCCGUGGGCUCUGGGAGGUCCUUUGUUUGCAGAAGACACCUGAGGGUGGGAGAGCUGCACUGAGCUUGGGCUCAGGAUUGUGGAACCCACUAACUUCCCAAGACUGUUGCUGGAGGACCAGAACAAGGGGAUAGCUGAGGAGUGUGCCUGCAUGGUCCCUGAAAGCAUUCAAGCAAGAGGCAGCAGCAAGGCCAAAUGGAAACAGAACCGGCUGGGUAGCUUCUGCCACCAACUUGGCUGAGGGACUUUCUUUCUUUGUUUUUUUGAAACGGAGUCUCUCUGUUGCCCAGACUGGAGUGCAGUGGCGCGAUCUCGGCUCACUGCAAGUUCUGCCUCCCGGG